UGGGGAAUUUUGGACAAUGGGCGAAAGCCUGAUCCAGCAAUGCCGCGUGUGUGAAGAAGGCCUUCGGGUUGUAAAGCACUUUUGUCCGGAAAGAAAUCCUUGGCUCUAAUACAGUCGGGGGAUGACGGUACCGGAAGAAUAAGCACCGGCUAACUACGUGCCAGCAGCCGCGGUAAUACGUAGGGUGCAAGCGUUAAUCGGAAUUACUGGGCGUAAAGCGUGCGCAGGCGGUUUGCUAAGACCGAUGUGAAAUCCCCGGGCUCAACCUGGGAACUGCAUUGGUGACUGGCAGGCUAGAGUAUGGCAGAGGGGGGUAGAUUCCACGUGUAGCAGUGAAAUGCGUAGAGAUGUGGAGGAAUACCGAUGGCGAAGGCAGCCCCCUGGGCCAAUACUGACGCUCAUGCACGAAAGCGUGGGGAGCAAACAGGAUUAGAUACCCUGGUAGUCCACGCCCUAAACGAUGUCAACUAGUUGUUGGGGAUUCAUUUCCUUAGUAACGUAGCUAACGCGUGAAGUUGACCGCCUGGGGAGUACGGUCGCAAGAUUAAAACUUAAAUGAAUUGACGGGGUCAUAGCUGUUUCCU
rnacentral:rRNA from 1 species